GGGCUCGUAGGGUAGUGGAUAUCCUAAUGGGCUUCGGACCCAUUGACUCGUGUUCGAAUCGCGGCGGGCCCG
rnacentral:tRNA from 1 species